UACGUAGGGUGCGAGCGUUGUCCGGAAUUAUUGGGCGUAAAGGGCUCGUAGGCGGUUUGUCGCGUCGGGAGUGAAAACAUCUGGCUUAACUGGGUGCUUGCUUUCGAUACGGGCAGACUGGAGGUAUGCGAGGGGAGAACGGAAUUCCGUGGUGUAGCGGUGAAAUGCGCAGAAUAUCAGGAGGAACACCGGUGGCGAAGGCGGUUCUCGUGGGCAUGACCUGACGCUGAGGAGCGAAAGUGUGGGGAGCGAACAGG
rnacentral:rRNA from 1 species